AAAUGCCCGAAAGUGUGAUAGGGUUAUCCCGAGUGCCGUCCGAUGAGGAUGGCUUUUCCUUGGUGUAAGGAGCCGAGAGAAUAAAGGGGGGGCAAGACUGGUGUCAGCCGCCGCGGUAAUACCAGCCCCCUGAGUGGUAGGGAUGAUUAUUUGGCCUAAAGCGUCCGUAGCCGGCUUAGCCAGUCUUUCGUGAAAUCCGGUGACUUAAUCAUCGGGAGGGCGAGAGAUACUACUAGACUUGAGGACGGGAGAGGUCGACGGUAUUCCGGGGGUAGGGGUAAAAUCCUAUAAUCCUCGGAGGACCACCAGUGGCGAAGGCGGUCGACUAGAACGUGCCUGACGGUGAUGGACGAAAGCUGGGGGAGCAAACCGGAUUAGACACCCGGGUAGUCCCAGCUGUAAACGAUGCGGGCUAGGUGUUGGGACAGCUAUGAGCUGUUCCAGUGCCGCAGAGAAGUCAUUAAGCCCGCCGCCUGGGAAGUACGGUCGCAAGACUGAAACUUAAAGGAAUUGGCGGGGG
rnacentral:rRNA from 1 species